ACCGCCGCCGCGCCGCGGGGGGGACGCAAGGGGAGCACGGCCGCUCCUCAGCCAGCCUGCCCCCGGCAAACCUCGCCCUCGGCGCCCGGGGAGCGCGGCCGCUCUGCGCUACCACUGCGCGCCAGCUCGCGUCUCCCGCGUUAUCCCGCGUUAUCCCGCGUUAUCCCGGGAUCUUUCCCCCGAGGCGCGCCUUGGCUCAGCCCAGCGCUGCGGCCGCAGUGUUUGUUCAUCCCCUAUUCACGAACGCCGUUUGCGCUCAGCUCCCCGCGCAAGCGCCGUUGCCCGCCCGUCUUUGCAGCGGCGCUACGCAGAGUGCGUACGGCGCCCGACCCUUACGGAGGCACUACGCAAACGGCGUACGGCACCCGACCCUUACGGAGGCACUACGCAAACGGCGUACGGCACCCGACCCUUACAGAGGCACUACGCAAGUGGCGUACGGCACCGGACCCCUAAAGAGGCGCUACGGAAACUGCGCACGGCACCCGCCCCUUACAGAGGCGCUACGCAAACUGCGCACACCGUGAGGGGCGCUGGGGGGGGGUGAUGAAAUGGCCGCGGGGGAAGCGAGGAGAGAGAAGGGGUGGCCCGGGGCCGUCACCGGGCGCUGUAAAAGCGCCGGGUCUCUCUGCCAGCGCCUGCUGCCGCCCUUCCCCCAUAACUCCAGGCUGGGGCCGGCGGUGCGGGCGGGGAGUGGUGACCUUCCCGCGGGUCCCACAAAAUGGUGCCCGCGCCUCGGCGAGGGGCGACAGCGCCUGCCCCCUCAGCGGCCCCACGCCGGGGCAGUCUGUUCUUGAGCCUUCAGGAUGUUUUUUAAAUUCCCUUUAGCCUUUCCAGCGGAAUCGGUGCUUUUUCAUCAGUAUAGUGAAAAAUUUGAACAGAGACAUUCAUUCUUGUAGUUUGGGGACUGCCCCAGUUACUCGUGCUGGGCCUUGGUCCUUCUGCUACAAAUUUCCCCUGGUUUUCAAAUCCGUUUUUUUGGGGGUUUUUUUUUUGGGUUUUUUUGGCCCUGUAUAUAACAAAUCUGACAGUGACUUCCCUGUUCACCUCUUCAUGGCCAAUUUGUUUAUAAAAAAUGAGCUCAGCAUUGCCCAAAUGGUUCCAAGUAAAGAUUGUGCCUGAACAAGGGCAGCAACUCCCAUGUGAGAAUUCCAGCUAAUGUGGCUCCCUUCACAUCUGGAUUGUCCCUGAUCCACAGACUGAGACACUGCCCUGGACAGACCAACGAGCUCAUCCCAUACCCAGUCCUGCAAAUCAAAAUCCAAAGCCUUUAUUGAAACAUUUUAUUGAUACCUACA